rnacentral:misc_RNA from 1 species
GAAAUGCGAUAAGUAAUGUGAAUUGCAGAAUUCAGUGAAUCAUCGAAUCUUUGAACGCACCUUGCGCUCCUUGGUAUUCCGAGGAGCAUGCCUGUUUGAGUGUCAUGAAUACCAUCACCCCUCCGGCGCUCUCGAGCGCUCGGUGGGCGUGGAUUUGGGGAUCUGCUGGCCCUUCGCGGGUCGGCUUCCCUCGAAUGCAUUAGCGGUCGCUUGGUUCUGACCACGGUGUGAUAACUAUUUCACCUUGGGAGGGCCGCUCGGGCGUCGCUCACAGCCGUCUUCGGACAACCCAUUUGUUAAUCUGGCCUCAAAUCAGGUAGGACUACCCGCUGAACUUAA